rnacentral:rRNA from 1 species
UCGCACGAGAAAGGGGAGCAAUCCCUGAGUAAAGUGGCGCACGGGUGAGUAACACGUGACUAACCUACCCUCGAGUGGGGAAUAACCUAGAGAAAUCUGGGCUAAUACCGCAUAACACUUACGAGUCAAAGCAGCAAUGCGCUUGGGGAGGGGGUCGCGGCCGAUUAGCUAGUUGGCGGGGUAAUGGCCCACCAAGGCGAUGAUCGGUAUCCGGCCUGAGAGGGCGCACGGACACACUGGAACUGAAACACGGUCCAGACUCCUACGGGAGGCAGCAGUGGGGAAUUUUGCGCAAUGGGGGAAACCCUGACGCAGCAACGCCGCGUGGAGGAUGAAAUAUCUUGGUAUGUAAACUCCUUUCGAUGGGGAAGAUUAUGACGGUACCCAUAGAAGAAGCCCCGGCUAACUUCGUGCCAGCAGCCGCGGUAAUACGAGGGGGGCAAGCGUUGUUCGGAUUUAUUGGGCGUAAAGGGUGCGUAGGCGGUUUGGCAAGUCUGAUGUGAAAUCUAUGGGCUCAACCCAUAGUCUGCAUCAGAAACUGCCGGGCUUGAGUAUGGGAGAGGUGAGUGGAAUUUCCGGUGUAGCGGUGAAAUGCGUAGAUAUCGGAAGGAACACCUGUGGCGAAAGCGGCUCACUGGACCAUUACUGACGCUGAUGUACGAAAGCUAGGGGAGCAAACAGGAUUAGAUACCCUGGUAGUCCUAGCCCUAAACGAUGAUUGCUUUGGUGUGGCAGGUACCCAAUCCUGCCG